GUGUGCGUGAGUGUGUGUGUGUGUGAGUGUGUGUGUCUUACAUAACUGUGUGAGCAAAUUGUUUAUACAGUCCUGCUUUUUCCCUUCUUAAAACGUAAGCUGUUCCCCUGUUAAAACAUCUUUGUGUAAACACAAUCUCUAAUGUUUGCACGAUGUUUACUCAACCGGGCAGUGUUGCCAGACAUUGAAGCUGUUUCCAGUUUCCUCCCAUUAUAAAUAAUGUCGCGAUGCACAUCCUUGAGCGUCCCAGAGGCAGGAUUCCUGGGCCAAAGGGUGCGGAUCUUUUGGCAGCUCACGCUCAAAAUCUCCGUAGUUUCUGCCUGACUCGCAGCUGAAAUGACCUCAUUCGAUUAAAGUGACAUUUCACUGCUAUUUGUUAUUUCCUAAAGGUUUGAUUCAUGAGAGCAUGCCUUUUUUUUUUCCCCCAGUUGCAGGAAACAGAAAUCCAUUCACACUAGCCCAUGUCAAAUCCCGGUUGUAUCACUCCAUAAGGAAAGCUAAUAUUCUGCUUGGACAAUCUAUCUUGCUAUGGAGAUUGUUGAGAUACUAAAAGGUUUCUGUACUGGCUGGUAGGUUAUGCUGCCUCGAGGCCGGCAAACGUCCCUCAUCAUGACCACUCCAGCUGCCCUGGUGCCUCCCCCAGGACUUUCCACAAUGCAAGAAAAGUGUUCAUGUCGGGCGCAGGCAUGAACCAUUCUGAUUGCUCAGCGCCCCAAGUACUGGUUGUUAAAUAUUUUUGCUAGUCUCCGAUGCAAGUAACAGAAAAGCUGACUCAAACGGCCUAAACUGUAAAGGGAAUUUGUAACUGGAAAAUCCACACUAGCUGGCUUCAACUAAAGUUGACACCACAGCUCAGCAACGUCAUCGAGGACUCCGUUUCUUUUCACCCCUCUGUCCCAUCUUCUCCAGUGGCAGCUCCCAAGACGGCUGUGAGCAGCCUUGCGGCCCCAUGGAGCUGUAUUCACAUCCCGCAGGUAAAGGUGAGCACCUGGGUCUCACAUCUCUCGGUCAAAGUAAUGAGGCUGAUUCUGAUUGGCUAGCUGAGGUCACAUGCCCAAGCCAGAGCCAAUCACUGUGGCCUUGGUGGGGGGUGGACCCGGAUGCCCUGAUUGGCUGAGCCAAGUCACAUGUUCCUCCCUGCUCACGUGAGCGGUUAACGCCAGCUGCUGAAACCCCGACCAGGGUUCAAAUUUCCAUUUUUAGCCAAUUCCUGCUGUCUUCGCUUCCGUGAUUCCCAUCUGUGAAACGGAGAUAAUAACGACGCUCGCCUCCCAGGGUGAUGUGAGGAAUAAAUGAGUUGGUUAAUGCCACUUAGAAUGGGUCUCCUAGACAGAAAGCACCUAAAGAAGUCAGAAGAACAGAGAUUCCACUUGGCUUUCAGCAGCUGAUGGCUAUGAUUCUCGCCUAGGGACAGUGCCUUUGGAAACGUGUGAUGUUCUGUGACUGUCACAGUGACUUGGGAAAGAGUUGCUGUGGGCAGCUGUAUUGAAACUUUCUGAUAUCAAGACCCUUUUAUACACUGGGUUUUUUGUUUUUUGUUUUUUUGCAGGAGAAGAUUUGCCCUAAGCUAACAUCUGUUGCCAAUCUUCCUCCUUUUUUCUUCCUGUUUCCCCCAAAGCCCCAGUACACAGUUGUGUAUAGCUGUGAAUUCUUCCGGUUCUUCAACACGGCUACUGACAGACGAGUGUUGUGGUUCUGUGCCCGGGAACCGAACCUGGGUCACUGAGUCGGAGCACAGGGAACUUUAACCACUAGGCCAUCAGGGCUGGCUCUCUUUUACACUCUUAGACGUACUGACCCCAAAGAGCUUUUAUUGAUGUGGGCUAUAACUAUUGAUUUUUACCGUAGUGGAACUUAAAACUGAUAAUUUUGAAAUACAAGCAUCCGCAAGCACACGUUCCAUUAGCUGGCAGAACAAUGAUGUCAUCGCAUGUCGUGGAGCCUCUAGAAGACUCUGCUGUACGCUCAUAAGAGAAUGAGAACGAAACAGGCAAAAAACAUCCUGGUACUAUGAAAAUAGUUUUAACUUUGUGGACAAAAGUUCUCAGGGACUCCCAGGGGGCCCUGGACCAAACUCUGAGACCUGCUCUAAAGGCACAUAUAAGCCUGGGAUGGCCAAGCAGGCGAAUGUGCUGCAGUGGGUGGGACGAUGCAGCCCCAAAUGUCAGAAGUGCCCCUUUGGAUGGACUGGUAUCCCUUUGGUCCAGUUAUCUGCGGCCUGGAGGGGUCCCUUGUGUACAAGCAGGGCUGCAGAGGGGGUGUGGUGGGGAGGCAUCUCAACUACUGUGUUCAACUUGGUACCAAAUACUGGGAGCCUCAGACAUACAUAGAAACUCUGGAGCUAUCGCCUGGGUUCGAAUCCCCACUCCAUCACUUGCUAGCUGUGUGACUUUGGGCAAGUUCUUUAACCACUCUGUGGCUCUGUUUCUCAUGAGGAAAAUGGAGACAAUAAUAGUAUCUACCUCCCAGGGUUGUCAUAAGAGUUAGCUUGGCACAUAGUCCGUGUUACGUGAGUGUUUACUCUGAGUAUUCCUGUUGCUCAGUCACCGUUCCCAUCCAAGGGGGCAUCGAUGGUAAGAUGGACUCUUACUCCAAAUCACCAAGAGAGAAAAAAGCUGCCAGUUGAACUAUGACACACGAUUAUUAUAAGAAGCAUCCUGAUUUCAGAGCUGUUAAAAAAUGGGAGAGGGGCUGGCCCUGUGGCGGUUGAGUUCAUGUGCUCUGCUUUGGUGGCCGGGGGUUCACCGGUUUGGAUCCCAGGCAUGGACCUAUGCACCAUUUAUCAAGCCAUGCUGAGACGGCGUCCCACGUAUAAAGCAGAGGAAGAUGGGCAUGGACGUUCACUCAGGGCCAGUCUUCCUCAGCAAAAGGAGGAGGAUUGGCGGCAGAUGUUGGCUCAGGGCUAAUCUUCCUCAAAAAAAAAAAAAAAAAAAGGGAGAGAAGGGGAGUUGAUAAAAUACAGUUAUUAUGUACAUACAUCUGCAGAAGAAUUUAACAAGGAGAGUGUCCAUCACAGCACCGCUUAUGGUGGCAAAUCGUCCUAACCCCCCAAUCAUAGAUCAAUCACGCAAGUCAUGGGACAGCCACGAAACGUGAAGGAAGGAGUUUUCAAAGGCCGUUCCAAAUUCCUGGGGCUCCUCACAAGGGAAUCUCUCUCUUUCUGUUUCAUUUUCUUUCUCAUCUCUGUCUUUCUCAUUCUCUCUCUCUCCUAUGUGCGCACAUAAAGUAAAUAAAAGGCAAAACUCUUCUACAGACAAAAAUCUCUGGGAAAUGUGCGCUGACCCCAGUCUAGUGCCUGCUGGCCCAACUGCCCAGAGGAUGGAACGUGUGCCCCAGGCUAACCCCCUCCCCGCACGCCUCUGCCAUCCGUCGCCUGGCUGGAGCCAGCGUGAGCGGAUGCACCCGGAGGGUACUUGUCCUCAUCUCCUGUCUGUGUGUCUUCCACAAAUACAACCCUGCUGUCCCCUGUGCCCCGACCUGGCCCAGCCCGCUCCUCGGAGUUCCAGCCCUGCCUUCCAAGUCCUUGGGGACGAACCUAUUUGGGGAUGUCAGGCAAGUCUCACUGCUAAGCCGGAUCCUUGUAUUCAGUUCUCUCUGUUGAAACACCUUGUGUGGUUUCUGUUUUCUUGACAAGCCUCUGACGGACACUGAGGAUGUCUUUCCUAAGCUGUCCGUUCUCCGCUUCGCGCCUGUCCCCUCCCCCACCGCAGUCCUCCCAACCUCAGAUCAGAGCUUCUCUCCCCACCCAGUAGCUCCAGCCGGGAACCUGGGUGAUGGAGGGCACCUUCCUCUCCUCACUCCACAGAUCCCACCCAUCCACUAGUCUUGCUUGUCUCCAAAAGAGGUGCUUCCCCCCUCCAACUUUCUUUCUUUUUUUUUUUUAAGGAAGAUUGACCUUGAACUAAUAUUUGCCACCAAUCCUCCUCUUUUUGCUGAGGAAGACUGGCCCUGAGCUCACAUCUGUGCCCAUCUUCCUCUAUUUUAUAUGUGGGACGCCUGCCACAGCGUGGCUUGAUGAGCGGUGUGUAGGUCCGGGCCCAGGAUCCCAACCGGUGAACCCUGGGCCAACGAAGCAGAACGCGCUAACUCAACUGCUACCCUAGGGGGCCGGCCCCUCCCUCCAACUUUUAAUUUUGAAAAUUUCUAAACAUGCACAAGAAUUACAAGAAAAGUACAAGGGCCGUCCUUCCACCCUUGAUAGGGAUUCACCGGUUUUAA
ensembl:lncRNA